rnacentral:rRNA from 1 species
AUUGAACGCUGGCGGCAGGCCUAACACAUGCAAGUCGAACGAGCGGCGGACGGGUGAGUAAUGUCUGGGAAACUGCCUGAUGGAGGGGGAUAACAACUGGAAACGGUAGCUAAUAACGCAUAGCAUCCGAUGUGCCCAGAUGGGAUUAGAUGGUAGGUGGGGUAACGGCUCACCUAGGCGACGAUCCCUAGCUGGUCUGAGAGGAUGACCAGCCACUGUGGAACUGAGAUACGGACAAGAAGCGUACCGGAGGCAGCAGCGGGGAAUAUUGGACAAGGGGCAUAAGCCUGAUGCACACAUGCCGCGUGUGUGACGAAGGCCUUCGGGUUGUAAAGCACUAUCAGCUGGGAGGCGGUACCCGCAGAAGAAGCACCGGCUAACUCCGUGCCAGCAGCCGCGGUAAUUC